rnacentral:rRNA from 1 species
UACGUAGGGUGCGAGCGUUGUCCGGAAUUAUUGGGCGUAAAGAGCUCGUAGGCGGUUUGUCACGUCGGAUGUGAAAUCCCGGGGCUUAACUCCGGGCCUGCAUUCGAUACGGGCUGACUAGAGUUCGGCAGGGGAGACUGGAAUUCCUGGUGUAGCGGCGAAAUGCGCAGAUAUCAGGAGGAACACCGGUGGCGAAGGCGGGUCUCUGGGCCGAUACUGACGCUGAGGAGCGAAAGCGUGGGGAGCGAACAGG